GCUGAUAGGGCUGCUAAGCAGGCUACUGUGAUAUAGUAGUUGUAAAUUUAUUUCGUCGGUA
rnacentral:tRNA from 2 species